GACGAACGCUGGCGGCGUGCUUAACACAUGCAAGUCGAACGAUGAAGCCGGAGCUUGCUCUGGUGAAUUAGUGGCGAACGGGUGAGUAACACGUGAGUAACCUGCCCUUGACUCUGGGAUAACUGCGGGAAACUGUAGCUAAUACCGGAUACGACCCUCGGAGGCAUCUCCUGGGGGUGGAAAGAAUUUCGGUCAAGGAUGGACUCGCGGCCUAUCAGCUAGUUGGUGAGGUAAAGGCUCACCAAGGCGACGACGGGUAGCCGGCCUGAGAGGGUGACCGGCCACGCUGGGACUGAGAUACGGCCCAGACUCCUACGGGAGGCAGCAGUGGGGAAUAUUGCACAAUGGGCGCAAGCCUGAUGCAGCGACGCCGCGUGAGGGAUGACGGCCUUCGGGUUGUGAACCUCUUUCAGCACCGACGAAGCGCAAGUGACGGUAGGUGCAGAAGAAGGACCGGCCAACUACGUGCCAGCCGCCGCGGUAA
rnacentral:rRNA from 1 species